AAGAAAAAAAAAGAAACAAGAUAAGAAAGUAACUGACCGACAAACAGCUUGAAAGGAUGAAUAAAUGGGUCCGGAGGGGAGAGACAGUGGAAUAGAGGAAUGGAAAGAAGAGAUAAAAGCCAGAUUCUGUCAACAAACAGGGGAUUUUUAUGUGAAGCACUGAUGCGGCUGUUACCCAACGUUACGGUAACAGGGAGUCGGCUUGGGAUUAAUUGCCCCGAGAUCGGAUUUGCACAAGGAUCAGUGCCAUCUGUGGGUUUCUGUCUCCAAGCGCAGAGAGAAGCAAAAAAAAAGGCAAUUCCCAACUAUCAUCAAAUCCAGUGGAUUAACAUGUUAAAUAGAGUGAGUGUGGUCCAAAUCCUGUCGAUUGUCCCAGGAUUUCCCUUUGGGGCCCAAUACGGGAUAAUAGCUUGCUGGGGCUUUUAACCAAUCCCCGAGAUCUCCAUUUUGCUGAAAGGACUGAAGGUGCCCCAAAUACCUUCAUCAGACGAACAGAAAAUGCACCAUAGUGUUAUGAACUCAUAGAUAUUGCACAGACGGCAGAUGAAGCUGUCAUUUUGAGAGAGAGCACGAAAGAAAGAAAGCAACUUCAUAAUGAGGUCAGAGGAAGAACAAAGAGGGCGAGAUGGGAGCAGAGUUGAGAAGGGAGCAGUAAUCCGCAUGAAGGUUACUGGCCUUUGUGACUGAACACAUAUUUCCAGAUGUGUGCUCAAACUAUUAGGGGUUUCAAUCACCAUGGGGCCAUAAUCUUUCAGGGAGUGAGGUGUAAAGAAGCCUCGCGGAGAAUUUAAGGUGUGAUCCAGCACCAGGUGUUGUAUGCAGCAAGACUUUGACCCCUGCUGUGGAUGCAAACACACAAUAUUUCACAGACUUUUUGCUGUUAAGUGAAUAACAAGUCUAUAUGGUUUCUAUGGACAAAAUGCCCUAAGGCCACUGGUUCAAAAGAAAAGGGUUAUUAAUUAAAGCUCAUUUACAAGACCGUCAGGAUUGUUGCCUUUUCAAACGCACCAAAACAAAAGAGAUCACAAAAAUGGUCUCGUAUUUAACAAUGUUUAAUUGUGUCAUCAGUUAAAAAACAAUAUUUGUUGUUCUGAAUAUAUUCAGAACAACAAAUUUUCAACUCACAAUUUUCCUCUGUGUUCCUUUCAGAACUGAAUGAUUCGUGAAAGGUUUCUGUAUCCUAUAAUGUUUUUCAUGCAGUUCUGUUUUAGCAAUUUUUGUUUCUCAUUAAGUCCAUAAUAUGUAUUUAUGCAUAACCCAAAAGGAUAUGCAUAAUGGGAUGUGCCAUUUGAGUAGACAAAGUUUUGGAAUAACUGGAACAAGAAAGUCUAUUCAUGGAUUUUGGGAAACAUGCCCAAGCUGAAAGGAAAGUGUAUAAACUGUAUUUAAAAGUCGUAUCUCCCUGAUUUCCUCUGUAUUCCUCAGUCCCAGAACACAUCAUUGAAACGUAUCAGAGUCCGGAGCACAGAAGAGCAAGCAGCCAGCAGCAACAUUAGCAUUCAUGACUACAGAUUACACGAGCUCUGCUUAGCUUCCAUACCUCCACCAAUCAAAUCAACCAAUACAUUCUGCAUUGUAAGUGACAAGCAGCUUUUCCUUCUGCUGCAAGCGUGAGGCUGAGAUACAUUGUGAUUUUUGCUGAAUCCUUUGGAAAUAAAAUGUCUGAAUAAACUUGUAAUGGAUUGGACCACUAUAAAAA